rnacentral:rRNA from 1 species
AUGCUAGAGAAAGAAGAAUCCGAUAGAAAAGCAACUAAGAAAAACCCAGCAGGACGCCCUCCACGGCUAGGCCACGGUGCGGCCGAUCUACUACCAUACCGGUUCUACGUGCAAAUCACAGCCAAAAACUUGAAGGCACUGGUUAUACCAACAGCAUUUGAGCCAGUGCUGGAAAACAGAAUGAGUAUCAGCAGAUCCAAGCCUGAACACAAGGUUAGUGUACCAAUCCGAGUGACUAAAUUCUGUGAGCACAGGGUCCAGCUCCAGUGGUUCAACGAUCAACUGGUAUUCCUGAAAGGAUGGAAAAAAUUCGCCAGAAAAGUGCAACUAAAGGUGGACGACGUCUUGGUAUUUAAAUACCAAGACAAAGGUUUUAAGGCUAAGUUGUUCCCACGCCACAACUCCACAGAAGCGGCGUUCGCCUGCAAACGCCACGGUGGCUAG